rnacentral:rRNA from 1 species
UACGUAGGGUGCGAGCGUUAAUCGGAAUUACUGGGCGUAAAGCGUGCGCAGGCGGUUCGCUGUGUCGGCGGGGAAAGCCCCGGGCUUAACCUGGGAAUGGCCGUUGAAACUGGCGAACUGGAGUGUGGCAGAGGGGGGUGGAAUUCCGCGUGUAGCAGUGAAAUGCGUAGAGAUGCGGAGGAACACCGAUGGCGAAGGCAGCCCCCUGGGCUAACACUGACGCUCAGGCACGAAAGCGUGGGGAGCAAACAGG